rnacentral:rRNA from 1 species
AGAGUGAACGCUGGCGGCAGGCCUAACACAUGCAAGUCGAACGGCAGCACAGAGGAGCUUGCUCCUUGGGUGGCGAGUGGCGGACGGGUGAGGAAUACGUCGGAAUCUGCCUAUUUGUGGGGGAUAACGUAGGGAAACUUACGCUAAUACCGCAUACGACCUACGGGUGAAAGCGGAGACCUUCGGGCUUCGCGCAGAUAGAUGAGCCGACGUCGGAUUAGCUAGUUGCGGGUAAAGCCACCAAGGCGACGAUCCGUAGCUGGUCUGAGAGGAUGAUCAGCCACACUGGAACUGAGACACGGUCCAGACUCCUACGGGAGCAGCAGUGGGGAAUAUGGACAAUGGGCGCAAGCCUGAUCCAGCCAUGCCGCGUG